GUUAUACUCCCUCCGUCCGGAAAUACUUGUCCUAGAGAUGAAUGUAUCUAGACUUAUUUUAGUUAUAGAUACAUCCAUUAUAUCCAUUUCUAGGACAAGUAUUUCCGGACGGAGGGAGUAGAAG
rnacentral:pre_miRNA from 1 species